GAUCCCCAACCCCCUGAGCAGGGCCAGGGAUCGAACCCACGUCCUCAGGGAUACUAGACACUCGUCAGGUUCAUUGCCACUGAGCCACAACAGGAACUCCCUGUUCCUUACAUAGCAAAGGGGACUCUGCAGAUGUGAUAAAGGAUCUUGAUUAUUCAGGUGGGCCCAAUGUAAUCACAACAUCCCUUAUAACAGAGGGAAAGAGCGAGAGAGGGGUGUGAGAAUCAGAGAUGCAACAAGAGCUUCUGCUGGAGGCCGAGAGGGGAAGAAGAGGCGUAGCCUCUAGAGCCUGGAAAAGGCAAGAAUCAGACAAAGGCCUCCACAGACCUGCCAAUGUUUGACUUUAGCUCUUUAAGACCCCUUCUGAACUCCACCUUCCAGAGCCAUGAGAACACUGUAAGUCAGUAAGUUUGUGAUGAUUUGUUACAGCAGCAAUAGAAACCAACAACGUUGCUAAACUGGCUAUGUACUUUUCAUGAAAGGAAGAUUAUCAAGUUUAUAUGCUGAUAGAUUAUGAGACUCUAAGGUUCACCUCUGCUCUUUUCAAUGCAAUAGCCUCUUUUCAUUUGUUUGUUUGUUUGUUUGUUUUUUGCUAGAGGAAAAUAAUGAUGAGAUGGAAAAAAAUAUCACCAAACUUUUCCUUAUUCGAUGUGAUUGUAUUACUUUUCACUAGAAGCUAAAACGUAGCAGCACAAUUCAUAACAGCCCCAGACUGAAGACAACCCAAAUGUCACCAGUAAUAGAAAGGAAAACCAGCUCUUGUGUAUUUUCCCACAAUGAAAUACGGCACAGCCAUGGGAAGGUAUGAACUACAAUCAUAAGGAAAUACGAAUGAAUCCCAGGAACUCAUGUUAUGGUCGAGCAAAAGAACUUGAAGCAAAAAGUUAAUACCAUAUGAUUCUAUUUACAUAAAGUUCAGGAACAGGCAAAGCUAGAUCUAUGCUGUGCUACGGAGAGGGGUGAGGGUCUGGAUUAACGACAAGAAGGGGCAGGCAGGAUGGAGGCUUGAGAGAGGCUGGCCGUGUUCUGUUUCUGGAUCUCAGUCCUGGCUACGUGGGUGACGUCACUUUGUGAAAACGUAAGAUUCAGACAGACUUCUGUAUGCUGUCCAUCAGUGCAAAACUCACUUAAAACUCUCAACGUGUGGUCCCCAUGGUUGUUUUAACGAAAGCUUGACAGAAAGACUAAGAGCUCUUAGAGGGAAUAUAAUGAGCAACACCCCCACCCCCUGCUGGGGCUUCUUGGAUCCAUUGCCCCAAAGCAAAGCCAACAAACCCUCCCUGACUUAAAAAAAAAAGGGCUUUCUGGUGUAUGUGGUGUAUGUAUCCCCACAGGGCACCUUUUCUUUUGAGGAGGCUGAAGGUGGAAAGCUCAGUCUAGAGUGUAACCAACAAGCCCCUUCUUGAGUUCAGUUCUAGAAUGGUGAACAAUUUAAAUUUCAGUAUUAAACCAUCUAUAAAUGAGAUGUUUUAAAUCAUAAACAGGUAAAUAAUAAAUGUACUAUAGACUCCAUGGAAAAAAAUAAUUUCCUAUAGCAAAUAUGAUUUCUAAGAUAUGUGAUCCUCAUAUAAUUUUUGAUUUCCUGCAAAGAAACAAAAAUUUGUAAUUUUUUUCUGGGCCACACCCUCAGCAUGUGGAGAUUCCUGGACCGUGGAUCGAACCUGAGACACAGCAGGUGUCUGAAAUGACAACUGCCGGAUUCCCUAGCCUGCUGAGUCACUAAGGAACUCUUUAUAGUUAAUAGUUGAAUAUCUUGGGGGACCGUCUUGCUCUUCAGCCAACAUUGAGGAGAACUGCAAUUAAAUUUAAAUAGGUCUUCAGCCCUCCAGGCUAAUGCUCCUUGUUGAUUCAUUUCUUGAGGUCACUGGAAUACAAGCACUUCCAACUUUCUCUUAUCUUUGCUAAGGAGGAUGAGAGCCAGCACAGUACUUAGAAUUCUCAAAUUGCUUCUAUCAACAAGAUUAUUUCUGCACAAGCUUCAUUAUAAAAUGCCAUUGUGACCUCCAGCAUUUCUUUAAUUAUACUCAGCCCGAGAAAAAAAUUUGGAGGGUGGUUAUCAUUUUAGGUCAUAAUUUUAAGGGAGCCCAAAGGAUAAAGUUGCAUAUUGACUGAAUACAGCUUAUAUUUGACAACUUACUUCCUACCAAAAAAAAAAAAAAAAAACAAGAAGAAGAAGAAAGAAAAUUGAUACUCAACUCUGGUAGAGAAUAUUAAUGACAACAAGGACACCACCACCUUAAAAACAUAAACAAAUCAAAGAAAAUAAUAUAAAACUGCAAUGUAAUCUGGGUAGCUAAUAAAGAGAAAAUAUUGAUGCCCUUACUUUUAGGUCCAGGCUGGCAGCGUUUUUAUAUCAAAUUAGUUAAGUAAUAAAAAAAGAUGAUUUCAUGCACUGCUUUAGCCAUGCUAGUACUUAUGUUAAAAAAUUGGUUGGAGGAGUUCAACCGCAUAUGAAAUUAGUUCUCAUGUGAUCAGAAUCACAUAUGAAGAAUGGACUGUGGCAGAGGGACAGGAGGGGGAAAGACUAAAAGGAAGGAGCCAACAGUCACCGUUAUUUAUUUCUUUGUCAAAGGAUUAUUUAAUGCCACGCGGCGUCAGGCGCCGUGCCGGACUGCGAGGCGGCAGUGGUGAAUGGACAGCCCUUCCCUUAAAAGCCCCGGGUUCCCCAGGGAUGGGAAGCAGAAUGGACACAGCGACACCAGCCCUGAGAUAGGGCCUCUCACAGGAGAGGCCGCCAACCCUGAUCGGGAAGUGAAGGAAGCCUUUGGAGAAGGCAAACAUGAGAUGGAAAAGACAGAUGCAAGGAGUGGGAAAAUGGGAAGCGUGUUUCAGUGAGAGGAAGUAGCAUGUUUGGGGAAGUCUAAGUUGUUAGGAGGCAAUUGCCAGGCCAAGGCGAGAAGCAAGGAGGGUCUGGAUUAGGGCCAAGAAGAUGGCAAACCCGAGAAGGUGGUGAGCGGGGAGAGAUUAGACAUGGGAGGUGAUGGAGAUGCUCGUGUUUGGCCCGGGGCAAUGCCACUGGUAGGGUGGGGGAGGAUUUUCUUGCGGGUGUGGUGCAUUUUGGAGAAAUGCAAUCAUUUUUGGACUGGCUGCGUUUGAGGUCCGGUGGAAGAUCCAGGUGAAGUUAAGAAGGCAUUUGCAGGUAAUAGCUCAGAAGUUUUUGUUCCAGAUACAGAUACAGGAGACAUAGAACAAAAGGAGAUAACAAAGCCAAAGGAUGGAAUUAUCUAAGUGAAGGGCAAAAUUUUCAAAAAUAGCAAUAUUUAAGGGUUAGGUAGAGUGUACAAAACUUGUGUGACUGGUGUGACCUUCACAAGUUGGGGUUCAAGUAUGAUCCCAUCUCUUGUUUAGCAAGUUGUGUCCAUACUUUGCAAAGUUUCCAUGAUUUUCUUCCUCAAAAAUUUCCACUAAUGGUAGGUGCUGAUUCAGCCCAAGGAGAGGGAGCUUUGUGGGUCAGUCCAUUCCAAGCAUCAAGUGGAGAGCGCACUGGAGUCUGAUAAGUCCACUGCCUUUGUUUCUCAAGUCCCCAGUGUAUAAGCGUUGAAGAUGAAUCCUGCAGUUUGAUGGAUGAUGUUGGGAUGCCCAAGCUGGCCUGAUAGAUGGUGUGCAGACCACAAUGCAUCUGUCUGAACCUGGCCCUUGGAACUCAGGGAAGACCACGGAAGCUGAAUGAGGCCCUUUUCCUAAAAACAAGAAAUGGGGACACAGAAAGGGUCGGUGAAUGUUGAAUCUGAAAGGAUGAAAAUGCAGCCUAACCCUCCAAGACCCCAAAAGGUAGUAAAGAGCCCUAACUCCAGCUUCCUAAAAAGCCCUAGGUGCCCCCGAAUUCCAGACCCUGCUCCCUGCCAGUCAAUAGUAGAAGGUCACACUUCUUGCUGUUCCAGGGCCUGCUAUCCUGGCCUAAGUAAGAUAACAGGAAAUGAGUUGACUAAUCACUUAUCUGGAUUCUAUAAAACUGCUGGCACCAUAGAAGAAUUGAUUACACAUUGAAAGCCCUAGUGACCUAUCUCAACUGCAAUCUGUCACUCUGCCCAGGUAGCCCGUGCAAAUGCGGACCUCCGGAACUGUAGAAAAAAUGAUGGGUCCACGGAGCGCGGGCUCUCGAUAUUUUAAAAUGAUUGGUUUGGACGCAGGCUUUGUUGUGAACCCCAUAAAAGCUGUCCCGAUUCCGCACUUGCCGCCGCAGUCCUCUACCCCUGCGUGGUGUACGACUGUGGGCCCCAGUGCGCUUGGAAUAGAAAUCCUCUUGCUGUUUGCAUCAAGACCGCUUCUCGUGAGUGAUUUGGGGUGUCGCCUCUUCCGAGUCCGGACGAGGGGGAUUUUCCUUCUACUGGCUUUUUCAAAUCCUCCUUUGAAAGUCUUCCUGUCUUGCUUUCUAAGAUUAAGCUUGUAGGAUAAAUUUCAUCCAGGAAGUGAGCUAUUCGGGUCAUAUUUUUCAAUACAGAUGAGCCUGCGGACAGUAGUAGAAGUUGAGAGCAGUGAAGAAGAGCCUCACAGAAAAGUACUGAAAGUGUCUUAUUCCCAGAUUUCUGUGCUACUCAUUAACAUGUCCACAGGCCAAGAAAAAAGUCAUUUAACUGCUAAGAAGUGAGUGAUCUGAAUAACAGGACGCUGUAGUACUGAAUCGACAUUUUUGUCACUUUUCCUUUCUAAUUUCUAAAUAGAUAGAACAGUUUAAAAAAUCAAAGUCAGUGAGUUUCAAGUCCUUAUAAUUAGCCCUGCGAAUGAAAAAGGGAAACCACAGAACAAAACAAGCUGCUUAUCUUAAGCCGCCGGACAGAGUUUAUCCAGGUUCUACCACCUACUAAUUGUGUGAGCUACGGCAAAUUACUCAACCUCUGUAAACCUCAAUUUUCUCACCUAUAAAUUGGAAAAAUAAUAAUGCUUGCAUAACAGAAUUUUAAGCAUUAAGUGAGUUGAUGCGUUUCCAGAUCUAUCUGUAACUUCUACAGCAGCCCCAGUCUCAAGCUACUAAUUGCUGGGGCUGACACUCAGCUAGGGUGAACUGCUGCAGCUAGUAGGAAUCUUUAGGCCUAAUUGUUGUUAGGCUGGUCAGAGGCCAAGCCGCGUUGGUAUUUAAUGUUUUAGCGAUCGCUGCUGCCAGCUGCUUAUGAGCUGCCCAGAGCCUGCUUCCUCCUCAAGUCAUUUCUCUUGUGCUGUUGGGACUAGCACAGUUAUCUGGGCCUCACUACAAGUGAAUAGUUAAGAUGCUGUGAUGCCUGGAGAUCUGGGGGUGGGGACUGAGAGGCCUUCUUUCCUCUGGCAGAAUGUGUACUUGCAGUGGCUGAGGCAGCAAGCGCAGGUGGUCCAGCUCUUCCCGGUGUGGGGGUCUGUGGACUCCCGAUGGAACAGUUAAGGCAGUGGAUGUAUUUCGCAUUCAGUAACGGGUGAAUACGACCUGGUGGAAAUCAGAGAAAACGAGAAGAACAAAGCACAGUCCAUUGACUGUAACACGACAACCAUGCCUUCACUCAUUUUGAUUUCUUCUACAAAUGUGGAGCGUCUGUUGUAUGCCCGUCACUGUGCUAAGAGUUGGGGAAACUUCCAAAGAUGGAAUAGAAACACUCUCUCAUCUCAGGAAAGUCGUUCUCUACCAAGGUCACAGAUGCAUUUACAGCACAGCCUUGACAGGUGUGUGGAUAUGAUGGGGGGCGGGCAGGGAGCAGAGGAGGGGUCCUCAACUCAGACUCUGAAGGAGAGGGGUGAGACUCACCCCUGAGGAGUGAAUAAGAAUUCACCAGGCAGAAAGGUGGGAAAGGAUCUAAGGGCAAAGUAUUUGGUAAUAUGAUCCCAACAGCAGCAGCCCUGGCGAUGCUUCUUCUAGAAGGAUGAUGUUCUUUUUAAUACUAUUGAAGCUCUCAGUGAAGACAUUACUGGCCAAUCCAUGUUCCAAAUGGCAAGAAGAAUCACUGGAUAUAGCAGAGUUUUAUCUUAAAAACAACAGAGAAAGUGUUUUAGCCCAGUCUUUUAUGCUUAGUUUUUAUGUGUCCAAAGAGGCAGAGACAGAGAGACUCUUCCAAUAGGUAACAGUGCUGCAAAGGAAAUUUUUUCCUGUUUUCUCGGCUUGAUUUUUCUCCUCAUUAAACACAGCAGGAGACAAAUACCUGACAGCCACAGGGAAAUACAGAGACACACCACAAAGGGACGAUUGGCUUGAUCCAGAUUGUGUGAGAAACUGGCAAGGCAGGGCUUCUCUGUUCCAGCUGCUGGGACAUACGCCACCUUCACUGUGAAAUUCUUGAGAUGCAGGCAGGUGAUCUCAUCGAUCCUGUGAUUUCAACAGGCUGCCUGUUAGCAAGUGUGAAUCUCCUAAGACCCGUCCCCCCCACUUCACUACAACCACAGUUUCCCCGGACCCAGUGUGAUCGUUGGCGCAUAAGGGGCCCAAUAUAUCCUUGUUAAGAAUGAAAUCUUAAGAAUGCUCCCUCUCCAGCCAUCCUUUCCCAUAUCUCUCCUCCCUGCCCUUGCCUCUGAGGCCGAAGCGCUAACACAAUGGCCCUCCGUUUACCCAGCAGGUCACCCAUCACCCCAUCCCAGGAAAGGCUGAUGCCUCUCCCAGACUGAGUGGACAGCUCUUGCAGGGCAGGGAUGUGUCUUAGCCACGGAAGGCCUGGGGCCUCACGAAGUCACUGUGCUUAGUAAGUGCUCCACAAUCCUACUGAUUAAGCGACUGCAUGAAGGGUUUAUUUUAUUUAUUUAUU